UAGUGGCCUAUGAAAAAGAUGUGUCCCCACAGAAUACAUAAUAAUUUUCUUGCCAUGAGAGUUUAUAUGAUGUCCUUUUUAUAGACCUGUACUUGAAGAGGAAUUCAUACCUCUGGAUGCACUUAAAAGAAAUCUUGAAUGUUACUCAAUCUGGCAUUAAAACAUUUUGUGACUAAGAAGAUAAAAUAAUCUAUUGAAUCUGCCUAUUUAAACCAAAACUUAUAUUUUCUAGUAGUUACAGUAGACAAAUUUAGCCAUUUAUUCCAAUUUUGAUUAAUUGUUUGCUUAGGAAGAAUACUACACAGGCUCAGGAUAGGGGCUUAUUAGAAUAUAAGUCCAUGAUUGAUUGUUGAUAUUUGUCCUCAGUGGAAAAGGGGGAAAUAAUGGCAUGAAUCUUACAUUUUUGCUGUUCUUGGUGUCCUUUCAAUAUCUACUAGCCAAAUAUGAUUAUUGAGCAUAUGAAAUAUGACUAGUAUGACUGAGGAGCUGAAUUUUUUAUUGUAUUUCUUUUAACUACUUUAUAUAUAAAUCUAAAAACUAUAUUUGAUUUAGUUAUUAAAAAGCUUUUAAUUAUGUUUGGAAGAAAAUUACAAACAUGUAUUCUAUGAAGUCUAAAUAUUAAUCUAGUACUUCUGAUGAAAAUGUAGUGUUCAAGUUGAGAUAUGCUAUCAAAAAUAUAUACCGUAUUUCAAAUGCCUAGUAC
rnacentral:lncRNA from 1 species